rnacentral:rRNA from 1 species
UACGAAGGGUGCAAGCGUUACUCGGAAUUACUGGGCGUAAAGCGUGCGUAGGUGGUUUGUUAAGUCUGUUGUGAAAGCCCCGGGCUCAACCUGGGAAUGGCAAUGGAUACUGGCAGGCUAGAGUGCGGUAGAGGGUAGUGGAAUUCCCGGUGUAGCGGUGAAAUGCGUAGAGAUCGGGAGGAACACCAGUGGCGAAGGCG